GGAACGGGCAAGUCGCUGCGACUCUGGUGAGAUUGGGAGUUAUCUCGGGUGCGGAGGGUCCUGAAAGACAUCAAAAGACUCCUGUAACCUGAAACUUCCCUCGCGUCCUAACCUAGACCUGGAGGAGAGGUCCAGGCGGGGGCGGAGACCCCGGAAGGCAGGUCGCGCAGUGGAUCCUGCGGGAGGCGCCAACAAAAGAGGCGGGAGGUGCCACCCGGGGGCGGCGGCCGCAAGACGAGCGGGAGGAGGAGCGCGGAGCCGAAC